rnacentral:rRNA from 1 species
UUAAGCGACUAAGCGUACACGGUGGAUGCCCUGGCAGUCAGAGGCGAUGAAGGACGUGCUAAUCUGCGAAAAGCGUCGGUAAGGUGAUAUGAACCGUUAUAGCCGGCGAUGUCCGAAUGGGGAAACCCAGUGCAAUUCGUUGCACUAUCGUUAACUGAAUACAUAGGUUAACGAGGCGAACCGGGGGAACUGAAACAUCUAAGUACCCCGAGGAAAAGAAAUCAACCGAGAUUCCCCCAGUAGCGGCGAGCGAACGGGGAGCAGCCCAGAGUCUGAAUCAGCUUGUGUGUUAGUGGAACGGUCUGGAAAGUCCGACGGUACAGGGUGAUAGUCCCGUACACCAAAAUGCACAGGUUGUGAACUCGAAGAGUAGGGCGGGACACGUGGUAUCCUGUCUGAAUAUGGGGGGGACCAUCCUCCAAGGCUAAAUACUCCUGACUGACCGAUAGUGAACCAGUACCGUGAGGGAAAGGCGAAAAGAACCCCGGCGAGGGGAGUGAAAAAGAACCUGAAACCGUGUACGUACAAGCAGUGGGAGCACCUUCGGGUGUGACUGCGUACCUUUGUAUAAUGGGUCAGCGACUUAUAUUCUGUAGCAAGGUUAACCGUAUAGGGGAGCCGCAGGGAAACCGAGUCUUAACUGGGCGUUAAGUUGCAGGGUAUAGACCCGAAACCCGGUGAUCUAGCCAUGGGCAGGUUGAAGGUUGGGUAACACUAACUGGAGGACCGAACCGACUAAUGUUGAAAAAUUAGCGGAUGACUUGUGGCUGGGGGUGAAAGGCCAAUCAAACCGGGAGAUAGCUGGUUCUCCCCCGAAAGCUAUUUAGGUAGCGCCUCGUGAACUCAUCUUCGGGGGGUAGAGCACUGUUUCGGCUAGGGGGUCAUCCCGACUUACCAACCCGAUGCAAACUACGAAUACCGAAGAAUGUUAUCACGGGAGACACACGGCGGGUGCUAACGUCCGUCGUGAAGAGGGAAACAACCCAGACCGCCAGCUAAGGUCCCAAAGUCAUGGUUAAGUGGGAAACGAUGUGGGAAGGCACAGACAGCCAGGAUGUUGGCUUAGAAGCAGCCAUCAUUUAAAGAAAGCGUAAUAGCUCACUGGUCGAGUCGGCCUGCGCGGAAGAUGUAACGGGGCUAAACCAUGCACCGAAGCUGCGGCAGCGACACUAUGUGUUGUUGGGUAGGGGAGCGUUCUGUAAGCCUGCGAAGGUGUGCUGUGAGGCAUGCUGGAGGUAUCAGAAGUGCGAAUGCUGACAUAAGUAACGAUAAAGCGGGUGAAAAGCCCGCUCGCCGGAAGACCAAGGGUUCCUGUCCAACGUUAAUCGGGGCAGGGUGAGUCGACCCCUAAGGCGAGGCCGAAAGGCGUAGUCGAUGGGAAACAGGUUAAUAUUCCUGUACUUGGUGUUACUGCGAAGGGGGGACGGAGAAGGCUAUGUUAGCCGGGCGACGGUUGUCCCGGUUUAAGCAUGUAGGCUGGUUAUCCAGGCAAAUCCGGAUAAUCAAGGCUGAGGUGUGAUGACGAGGCACUACGGUGCUGAAGUAACAAAUGCCCUGCUUCCAGGAAAAGCCUCUAAGCAUCAGGUAACAUCAAAUCGUACCCCCAAACCGACACAGGUGGUCAGGUAGAGAAUACCAAGGCGCUUGAGAGAACUCGGGUGAAGGAACUAGGCAAAAUGGUGCCGUAACUUCGGGAGAAGGCACGCUGGUGUGUAGGUGAAGUCCCUGCGGAUGGAGCUGAGACCAGUCGAAGAUACCAGCUGGCUGCAACUGUUUAUUAAAAACACAGCACUGUGCAAACACGAAAGUGGACGUAUACGGUGUGACGCCUGCCCGGUGCCGGAAGGUUAAUUGAUGGGGUUAUCCGUAAGGGAGAAGCUCUUGAUCGAAGCCCCGGUAAACGGCGGCCGUAACUAUAACGGUCCUAAGGUAGCGAAAUUCCUUGUCGGGUAAGUUCCGACCUGCACGAAUGGCGUAAUGAUGGCCAGGCUGUCUCCACCCGAGACUCAGUGAAAUUGAACUCGCUGUGAAGAUGCAGUGUACCCGCGGCAAGACGGAAAGACCCCCGUGAACCUUUACUAUAGCUUGACACUGAACAUUGAGCCUUGAUGUGUAGGAUAGGUGGGAGGCUUUGAAGCGUGGACGCCAGUCUGCGUGGAGCCAACCUUGAAAUACCACCCUUUAAUGUUUGAUGUUCUAACGUUGGCCCCUUACCGGGGUUGCGGACAGUGUCUGGUGGGUAGUUUGACUGGGGCGGUCUCCUCCCAAAGCGUAACGGAGGAGCACGAAGGUUAGCUAAUCCUGGUCGGACAUCAGGAGGUUAGUGCAAUGGCAUAAGCUAGCUUGACUGCGAGCGUGACGGCGCGAGCAGGUGCGAAAGCAGGUCAUAGUGAUCCGGUGGUUCUGAAUGGAAGGGCCAUCGCUCAACGGAUAAAAGGUACUCCGGGGAUAACAGGCUGAUACCGCCCAAGAGUUCAUAUCGACGGCGGUGUUUGGCACCUCGAUGUCGGCUCAUCACAUCCUGGGGCUGAAGUAGGUCCCAAGGGUAUGGCUGUUCGCCAUUUAAAGUGGUACGCGAGCUGGGUUUAGAACGUCGUGAGACAGUUCGGUCCCUAUCUGCCGUGGGCGCUGGAGAAUUGAGGGGGGCUGCUCCUAGUACGAGAGGACCGGAGUGGACGCAUCACUGGUGUUCGGGUUGUCAUGCCAAUGGCACUGCCCGGUAGCUAAAUGCGGAAGAGAUAAGUGCUGAAAGCAUCUAAGCACGAAACUUGCCCCGAGAUGAGUUCUCCCUGAGACUUUAAGUCUCCUGAAGGAACGUUAAAGACGAUGACGUUGAUAGGCCGGGUGUGUAAGCGCAGCGAUGCGUUGAGCUAACCGGUACUAAUGAACCGUGAGGCUUAACCU